rnacentral:rRNA from 1 species
AACGCGAAGAACCUUACCUGGGCUCGAAAUGUAGAGGACGAUAUCAGAGAUGAUAUUUCUCGAAAGAGUCUCUAUAUAGGUGCUGCAUGGCUGUCGUCAGCUCGUGCCGUGAGGUGUUUGGUUAAGUCCAGCAACGAGCGCAACCCUUAUCGUUAGUUGCCAGCGCGUAAUGGCGGGAACUCUAACGAGACUGCCUGGGUUAACCAGGAGGAAGGUGAGGAUGACGUCAAGUCCGCAUGGCCUUUAUGUCCAGGGCUACACACGUGCUACAAUGGUCGGUACAGAAGGCAGCAAGACCGCAAGGUGGAGCAAAUCCCCAAAAACCGAUCUCAGUUCAGAUUGUAGACUGCAACUCGUCUACAUGAAGUUGGAAUUGCUAGUAAUGGCGUGUCAGCAACAACGCCGUGAAUACGUUCCCGGGCCUUGUA